rnacentral:lncRNA from 1 species
UGUAUCUGCAAUGCAUCAACACAGUGGUGUGAGCAAGGCAGAUGACACACUGAAUAGUGGGGGAUAGGUUGCAUAUCCCUACCUUCCACCAAUUGCCUCUUCACUUAGGAGGUCUUUGACUCUAUGCAAGGACAAAAGUAAACACACAAACAUUGCCCUUAAGGAGGACUUCAGACAGUUGCCUGGCCAAGUAACAGGCCAGGUCUUCCAGACUACAUGAAGUAGAAGAGACAUACCUCAAUGCAAAUUGCUUAUACAAGCAAAGCCAAAGCAAAAGUUCACAAGGAACUAAGCAACUAAAGCACCUGAAACAGUCAAGCAGUGUUAGUAUACAACUUCAAACAAAACAGACAGAAACAGACAACAACAGUCCAUUAGAGGGCACAAGGAUGUGCAAGGCAUAAGGCUUAGGGCAUGUGAGCCAAGCCACCUACAAAACAAAGAGGUUAGACAAUGAUACUUGGGUAAGCUCAAUCAAAAGAAUUGGUCUCAAUGGCCAUUUGAUGGUCAACCUGAAAUCACAAACUCAAAGGUGAGUAAUAGGACCACUAGGGCAAGCCUAGGGUCAAAAAUGAAUGAGAAAGUCAAAGCAGCAAGGGGCAAGUAUCCCAAAUCAUGCUCAACCCACUAGGAAACACAACCAAUUGGAUUCACACUCAUAUCAAUCCUCAUCAUCAUUUCAUGAACCAUUUAGAUCAAAACAUGGCAAACAGAAGCUCAUAGAAGUCAACAGCAAGACUUAACUCAAAAGUCAACUCAAACAUUUCCAAAAAUCACCAAAUAAAUCAUGGUCAAACCUAACACAUAGCAUGGUAAGCAUGUCAAAUUCCAUCUCACUUGGACAAGUUUAGGAGGUCAAAACAUUUAAUCGGGACUUUGUCAGAAUUAAAUCGAGCACUGUGCGAAAAAAUUAUCCUAAGUGUCUAAGGG